rnacentral:rRNA from 1 species
GGCAGACGGGUGAGUAACACGUGGGUAAUCUACCUUAGAGAUCGGGACAACAGUUAGAAAUGACUGCUAAUACCGGAUAAUUCAUAAUUGGAUAACUGAUUAUGCUAAAAGGAGCUUCGGCUUCACUUUAAGAUGAGCUUGCGGUGUAUUAGCUAGUUGGUAGGGUAAUGGCCUACCAAGGCAACGAUGCAUAUCCGAGCUGAGAGGCUGAACGGACACAUUGGGACUGAGACACGGCCCAAACUCCUACGGGAGACAGCAGUUAGGAAUAUUCGUCAAUGGGGGAAACCCUGAACGAGCAAUGCCGCGUGAGUGAUGAAGGUCAUUAUGAUUGUAAAACUCUGUUGUAAAGGAAGAAACCCUAUCAUAGGUAAUGAUGAUAGAUUGACUGUACUUUACCAGAAAGCCCCGGCUAACUACGUGCCAGCAGCCGCGGUAAUACGUAGGGGGCAAGCGUUAUCCGGAUUUAUUGGGUGUAAAGCGUGUGUAGGCGGUUUAUUAAGUCUAAGAUUAAAGCCCGAGGCUCAACCUCGGUUCGUCUUAGAAACUGGUAGACUUGAGUGUAGUAGAGGUAAGUGGAAUUUCUAGUGUAGCGGUUAAAUGCGUAGAUAUUAGAAGGAACAUCAGUGGCGAAGGCGACUUACUGGGCUAUUACUGACGCUGUGACACGAAAGCGUGGGGAGCAAAUAGGAUUAGAUACCCUAGUAGUCCACGCUGCAAACGAUGAGUACUAAGUGUCGGGUAACCGGUGCUGAAGUUAACACAUUAAGUACUCCACCUGAGUAGUACGGUCGCAAGGCUGAACUUAAAGGAAUUGACGGGCACCCGCACAAG